CAUUGAGCAUUAAAUCUGUUUAGCACUUAAUCCUGUUCAUUCUAUUUAAAAAGGAGGAAACUGAGACCCAGGCAGAAGAAUUUGUUCUUCAAACUGCGAAAGCAGAGCUACCCCAAUUCAUCCACACGCGUAGUAUUUCGGAGAAAAAAAGAAAACCCUAUGAUGGCAAGCAGUCAUAAGGAUGAAUGGUUUUCUACCAAGUGAACUACGUGGUCAUGGAAGCGCUGUUGAUGGUGUGGCACUACUGCCUGUUCUUCAAAGGCACCGUCUAGAUGCUGAGGAGGCAGAAUUGAACAUUCCUUGUGGAAGAUACUGCUUUAGUGGAGAUCUCAAGCUCUCUUCCUGAAUGAUUACAUAGGGUGCCAGAGGCCCUUGUUCUGCUAUGAGACAUAAAGCACGAACCGUUCUAUAUUUUGAAAAUCCCAAUUACAAUUUUCAACCCCCAGCCUCCAUAGAACACAGAAGCUGAAAGUAUCACCAAGAAUCUACCUAUUUUUACUAAAGUCUGCAUCAUAAUUUCACUAAAGAUAAGGUAAACAUCAAAAUUACAUUGAUCAUAUAAAGCAAGUAUGGAUGACAUACAAAUUCCAAUUCUAAUAACAUCCUAAUCAUAAGAAGAGAGAGUGUAAAAUGUCCUGAAAUACAAAAAUGCAGACAGGAUAUUUCUUGAGAAGCAGAUAAAACUGAUAAGGCUAGGUUUGAGACAUUCAGUGUCUCAAAAACAGAGGAUUUCCCUGGACCAAUCUCUGGUCAUAUCUUCUCAGGCUUGAAAUAAUACAACUUGCUCUAUGUUUGUCUGAGUAUCAAUCUCUAAACGUCUAAUGAGUGGAUGAAUAAAUGAAUUUGUAUCUUAUUCAGGG
rnacentral:lncRNA from 1 species